rnacentral:piRNA from 1 species
CAUUAAUGUGAGAGACUUAGAAAAA